GACGAACGCUGGCGGCGUGCUUAACACAUGCAAGUCGAACGGAAAGGCCCUGCUUGCAGGGUACUCGAGUGGCGAACGGGUGAGUAACACGUGGGUGAUCUGCCCUGCACUUCGGGAUAAGCCUGGGAAACUGGGUCUAAUACCGGAUAGGAGCCAUUUUUAGUGUGAUGGUUGGAAAGUUUUUUCGGUGUAGGAUGAGCUCGCGGCCUAUCAGCUUGUUGGUGGGGUAAUGGCCUACCAAGGCGGCGACGGGUAGCCGGCCUGAGAGGGUGGACGGCCAAAUUGGGACUGAGAUACGGCCCAGACUCCUAGGGGGGGCAGCAGUGGGGAAUAUUGCACAAGGGGCGCAAGCCUGAUGCAGCGACGCCGGGUGGGGGAUGACGGCCUUCGGGUUGUAAACCCCUUUCGCUAGGGACGAAGCUUUUUGGGACGGUACCUAGAUAAGAAGCACCGGCUAACUACGU
rnacentral:rRNA from 1 species